AUGGAUUCUCCGACCGAAAUGCAACUUCCCUCUGGUGUGACUGAAGUAGAAGCCGGUGACUGGGAGGUGAGAUCAGAGCUACUUGCAUCAGGCCCUGUUCGUACGCCGUCUCAACACGGAUCAACAUGCAGCUCUCGAAGGAGCACCGUGCUAGCAACCGCUAAAGCCAAAGCUCAAGCAGCAAGAACCAAAGCAGCCUUUUCUGAAAGGGAAAUGGCACUGAAACUUCAGAAAGCUGAAUCAGAACUACAAACUGCCAAAGCAGAAGCCGAAUUAGAGGCAUUGCGGUGUAGAAAAGAAAUGGAGGCUGCAAUAGCUGAAGCAGCAGCUCUUCAAGCAGAAUUAGAUGACGACAACAGCCUCGGGGAACCGGGGUCAGAACCGAACCAAAGGUAUUUCUCUGCAUGCAACGUGCCACCGCAGAGAGACAUAAAGCAAGAAAGCUAUAAUAUUUCGCCCAACCUGCAUAGCCACCUGCCUCCACCAGCAUGUCCUCCAACGCAGCCAGCCAUAAGACCUCCAGCACAGCAUCCAGUGACAUCGCCUGCACAGCUACCGACACAUCCACCAGCAGAGUCCCUGAGACCGACACCAGCUCCAAGACAGUUGCCACUGCCGUCACAGGUACCACUACAGCCACAGCAGCCAUCCAUGCCACCUGCUAGUCCGUAUUACAUGCCACUCCAAGCCAGCAACCAAGCAUGGCAGAGAGGAAAAGACUAUGGGCUACCCAGUCCUGCUCCACACCCUACCUCGUCUCGUCACACGCCUGCCCAAGAUGGACACAGCUCCCCGACUGCUGACCUGGCGAAGCUCAUCGCUAGAAACCAGAUCGUCUCCACAGGGCUGACGCAGUUCGACGAUAAGGCAGAGAAUUACUGGGCAUGGAAAGCUUCAUUCUGCAAUACCAUAGACAAUAUAGGCUUGUCGGUAGCAGAAGAGACUGACCUUCUGAUUAAAUGGCUCGGCAAAGAGUCGUCCGAGCAAGCACGCAGGCUCAGAGCAGCCUACAUCAGAGACCCCCAGGGUGGCCUCCAAGCNNNNNNNNNNNNNNNNNNNNUUUAUACGCGCUGGAUAACUAAAUACGCAAACGUUUAG
rnacentral:lncRNA from 15 species